CUUUCUUACGUGGGGAUCCCAAACGCGGGGCGGCGGUUGAGGAGAGUCUCGGAGCGUGGGCGUAGAGGCGCGAGGCGGCGGCGGCGGCGGAGGCUCGGCGAGCUUCGGGUGGAGCGUCGGUACCGCCUCGUCUGGCUCUUCAGAAAGGAGUUCGUCGGUUUCCAAAAGGAGUCGUGGUUUUUCCGGCUGUUCCGUUUCUCCGGGCCGUUCCGACCGUUGGCGAAGACCUUCUCACAACCGGAACCAAAGUUCUGGGGUUCCCUCCGCUAACUACCAUGGAUGUAACUGUUCUUCACGGGUAAGUGACCUUGACAACGGUAGUCCCCGUCUUAGUAUCGACCUUGGACGGUGUCACGGUUCUACUUGUCCUGGUAGUAACAAGCGUCCUUGAUGGAAGUAAAACAGUUCUUCAUAGUCUCCAUACUCUUCUCCGUGAGGUUGUAGGGUCGAGUGUAGAGGGGGACGAAGGCACAGUUCCUUCCGCUGGUACAGUAGUAACCGGUCACGUCCGGGGACAGCUUUUGGCACUCUAAGUUACAGGACUUCCAGCAAGGUCGACCUUGGUGGCCUCCGCCCUUCUUCCGAAAGCAGCGACGGAUUCGGGUCUGAGACUAAGUACUCAUCAAGUAUCAGUCUUGAAAAAGCGUGAACUUUAGAUGGUCCGACGACAAAGCUCUAAACUAAGGCACAAUAGACAGUUUGGCUUACAGCACUAGACUUGUACAAAACACCUUAGAUAGAUAGUAAUUAUCAAAGCGAAAUUAACAUGACGGAAUAACAGGAAAACGAGUCAAGGAACACUUAAACAAACGGGUCUACAAUAUACUAUAAAUGAGCUCGGCACACAACGGAACAAG
rnacentral:rRNA from 1 species